rnacentral:rRNA from 1 species
UACGAAGGGGGCUAGCGUUGUGCGGAAUCACUGGGCGUAAAGCGCACGUAGGCGGAUGUGCCAGUCAGGGGUGAAAUCCCGGAGCUCAACUCCGGAACUGCCUCUGAUACAGCACGUCUUGAGUUCGAGAGAGGUGGGUGGAAUUCCUAGUGUAGAGGUGAAAUUCGUAGAUAUUAGGAAGAACACCGGUGGCGAAGGCGGCCCACUGGCUCGAUACUGACGCUGAGGUGCGAAAGCGUGGGGAGCAAACAGG